rnacentral:rRNA from 1 species
UACGUAGGGUGCGAGCGUUGUCCGGAAUUAUUGGGCGUAAAGAGCUUGUAGGCGGUUUGUCGCGUCUGCCGUGAAAAUCCGGGGCUCAACCCCGGACUUGCGGUGGGUACGGGCAGACUAGAGUGUGGUAGGGGAGACUGGAAUUCCUGGUGUAGCGGUGAAAUGCGCAGAUAUCAGGAGGAACACCGAUGGCGAAGGCAGGUCUCUGGGCCACUACUGACGCUGAGAAGCGAAAGCGUGGGGAGCGAACAGG